GGGAAUUCUAUACGCAUCCACGGCGAUUUCUUCCAUUGACUCUCUCGGGACUAAGACUGGAGCAGGAGGGUGCAGUCGGAAGAUCUCUUUGAUCACAGCAUUCAGAUAGGGCAUCUGAGGAACGUCAGUCUCGAGUAUUCACUUAGGCAAGUCUCUGGCACAAUUUAUCAAGUGAAGUGCUCAAGAGUGAGUCCAUACGAAAAACAUAGAGGAGGGGAGAAGGAAUCGAGGAGAAAAGUUCUGGACACAUAUGGAGAGAGUAUUGCAACCCAAUUAAGGCAAGCAAGCUUCUUGCUCGCUGCUUUUAAUGUCUCGUAUCCACUCUAUAUCUAUUCUUCUUGACUCA